GGGGUUGUGGCUCUGUGGUAGAGCACUUACCUUGCAUGCAUGGGGCACUGGGUUUGAGCCUCAGCACCCCA
rnacentral:tRNA from 1 species